rnacentral:rRNA from 1 species
CCUACGGGAGGCAGCAGUGAGGAAUAUUGGUCAAUGGGCGCUAGCCUGAACCAGCCAAGUAGCGUGAAGGAUGACUGCCCUAUGGGUUGUAAACUUCUUUUAUAUGGGAAUAAAGUGCAGUAUGUAUACUGCUUUGCAUGUACCUUAUGAAUAAGGAUCGGCUAACUCCGUGCCAGCAGCCGCGGUAAUACGGAGGAUCCGAGCGUUAUCCGGAUUUAUUGGGUUUAAAGGGAGCGUAGGCGGGUUGUUAAGUCAGUUGUGAAAGGUUGCGGCUCAACCGUAGAAUUGCAGUGGAUACUGGCAUCCUUGAGUACAGUGGAGGUAGGCGGAAUUCGUGGUGUAGCGGUGAAAUGCUUAGAUAUCACGAAGAACUCCGAUUGCGAAGGCAGCCUGCUGGACUGUAACUGACGCUGAUGCUCGAAGGUGUGGGUAUCGAACAGGAUUAGAUACCCGGGUAGUC